rnacentral:rRNA from 1 species
AGUGGCGGACGGGUGAGUAACGCGUGAGAAUCUGCCUUCAGGUCGGGGACAACAGAGGGAAACUUCUGCUAAUCCCGGAUGAGCCUUAGGGUAAAAAAUUUAUUGCCUGGAGAUGAGCUCGCGUCUGAUUAGCUAGUUGGUAAGGUAAAAGCUUACCAAGGCAACGAUCAGUAGCUGGUCUGAGAGGAUGAGCAGCCACACUGGGACUGAGACACGGCCCAGACUCCUACGGGAGGCAGCAGUGGGGAAUUUUCCGCAAUGGGCGAAAGCCUGACGGAGCAAGACCGCGUGGGGGAGGAAGGCUCUAGGGUUGUAAACCCCUUUUCUUUGGGAAGAACAAAAUGACGGUACCAAAGGAAUCAGCCUCGGCUAACUCCGUGCCAGCAGCCGCGGUAAUACGGAGGAGGCAAGCGUUAUCCGGAAUGAUUGGGCGUAAAGCGUCCGCAGGUGGCAAUGUAAGUCUGCUGUCAAAACCCAGGGCUCAACUCUGGUCAGGCAGUGGAAACUACAUAGCUAGAGUUCGGUAGGGGCAAAGGGAAUUCCCGGUGUAGCGGUGAAAUGCGUAGAGAUCGGGAAGAACAUCGGUGGCGAAAAGCGCUUUGCUAGACCGAAACUGACACUCAGGGACGAAAGCUAGGGGAGCGAAUGGGAUUAGAUACCCC